rnacentral:rRNA from 1 species
AUUGAACGCUGGCGGCAUGCCUUACACAUGCAAGUCGAACGGCAGCACGGGAGCAAUCCUGGUGGCGAGUGGCGAACGGGUGAGUAAUAUAUCGGAACGUGCCCAGUCGUGGGGGAUAACGUAGCGAAAGCUACGCUAAUACCGCAUACGAUCUACGGAUGAAAGCGGGGGACUCGCAAGAGCCUCGCGCGAUUGGAGCGGCCGAUAUCAGAUUAGGUUGUUGGUGAGGUAAAAGCUCACCAAGCCUGCGAUCUGUAGCUGGUCUGAGAGGACGACCAGCCACACUGGAACUGAGACACGGUCCAGACUCCUACGGGAGGCAGCAGUGGGGAAUUUUGGACAAUGGACGCAAGUCUGAUCCAGCAAUGCCGCGUGCAGGACGAAGGCCUUCGGGUUGUAAACUGCUUUUGUACGGAACGAAACGGUCUGCUUUAAUACAGUGGGCUAAUGACGGUACCGUAAGAAUAAGCACCGGCUAACUACGUGCCAGCAGCCGCGGUAAUACGUAGGGUGCGAGCGUUAAUCGGAAUUACUGGGCGUAAAGCGUGCGCAGGCGGUUAUAUAAGUCAGAUGUGAAAUCCCCGGGCUCAACCUGGGACCUGCAUUUGAGACUGUAUAGCUAGAGUACGGUAGAGGGGGAUGGAAUUCCGCGUGUAGCAGUGAAAUGCGUAGAUAUGCGGAGGAACACCGAUGGCGAAGGCAAUCCCCUGGACCUGUACUGACGCUCAUGCACGAAAGCGUGGGGAGCAAACAGGAUUAGAUACCCUGGUAGUCCACGCCCUAAACGAUGUCAACUGGUUGUUGGGUCUUCACUGACUCAGUAACGAAGCUAACGCGUGAAGUUGACCGCCUGGGGAGUACGGCCGCAAGGUUG